rnacentral:tRNA from 1 species
GCGGUGGCGGCUCCGUGGUAGAGCACUUGCCUCACGUGUGUGAGCUGCCCUGGGUUUGAUUCUCAGCACCGCA